GUGUGGUGACAGCGUGGAAGCAGCUGUGGCAUUUGCUCUUCUAGAGGUUUGUGGCGCACAGCGUGCCUCAUUGCUCCUCAUGGCCAAGUGCUUACCUGCUGAUAGACAUCUGGAUUGUUUCUAAAUGAGCAUCAAAGAAAAAUAUGAUUGUUUUAAACUCAAAUUGCUGUCCACAUGUAUGUUUUCAUUUCCCCUGGAUCGAUACUUAGGAGUGCAGUUGCUGGGUUGUAAGUAUGAUUUAUUUUAUGGGACUUAGAUAGAACCUAGGGUCAUGUACAUGCCAGGCAAGUGCUCUACCACUGAGCCACAUCCCCAGUCUAUAUAUAUAGUUGUUGAUAGACCUUUGUUUAUUUAUAUGUAUUUAUAUUUAUAUAUAUUUUUAUUAUUUAUUAAUCGAACCCAGUGCCUCACACAUGCCAGGCAAGUGCGUUACCGUUGAGCCACAGCCACAGCCUGUGACUUUUCUUUUUUAAAAAAUUUCUUUGAGGGGCUGGGGAUGUGGCUCAAGCGGUAGCGCGCUCGCCUGGCAUGCGUGUGGCCCGGGUUCGAUCCUCAGCACCACAUACAAACAAAGAUGUUGUGUCCGCCGAAAACUAAAAUAAAUAAAAAAAAAAAAAAAGUAAAAAAAAAAAAAUUUCUUUGAGCUGGGCGCAGUGGCACAUGCCUAUAAUCCCAGCAGUUUGGGAGGUUGAGACAGGAGGAUCACGAGUUCAAAGCCAGCCUCAGCAACAGUGAAGCACUAAGCAACUUAGUGAGAUCCUGUUCUAAAUAAAAUACAAAAUAGGGCUGGGGAUGUGGCUCAGUGGUUGAGUGCCCCUGAGUUCAACUCCCAGUACCAAAAAAAUAUAAAUAAAAUAAAUUCUUAGAGAUGGGGGUCUUGCUAUUUUAUCUAGGCUGGGCUCAAACUGUCCUCCCUCCUCAGCCUCCCGAGUGCUGGGACUGCAGCUAAGCACUGCCAUGCCCAGCUGCUACAAUUACUGAUAUGGCUGAAUAUGUGGGUGCUUUUUGCUAUUUGUUUUCUAUAGAUCUUCCAUUUGUUCCUUUGUACUGCUCCCUCUCCCCCAGCCACACACUGGGGAUUGAACCAGGGGUGCUUCGCCACUGAGCUACAUCCCAGGGUGUCAGUAGAUUGCUGUGGCUGGCCUGGAAUUUGCCAUCCUCUUGCCCUAGCCUCUUGAGUAGCUGGGAUUAUAGGCGUGUGUCUCCUGAUGCCUGGACUUUUGUUACAUUUUGUGCCUGUGUGUGCUAUUUGAAUCCCAUGGUUGGUAUUUCUUUUUUCCUCUUUUGUUUCCUCUCUUUUCUUUGUGGUUGUGUAGGGAUUGCAGUUUGUAUCUUUCAUUUAUUAUACCAUAUUCCAGUUUAACUGACAAUUCUGGUAAACUGUAACUUUUUACUCCAGUACUGGGGAUUGAACCCAGGGGUGCUAUUACUGAGCUACAUCCCCAGCCCUAUUGGAGACAGGAUUUUGCUAAUUUACACAGACUGGCCUCUAACUUGUGAUCCUCCUGUCUCAGCCUUCCUUGUUGCUGGGAUUAUAAGUGUGGCCAUCAUGCCUAGGCUACUUUUCUUUUGAGCUUGACUUUCAGAGAGCUGCCUGUGUCUCCAUCACUCAGAGCCAUAGAUUUGGGAAGAGGUUAUGCUCAGACCUUGACCACUGUGGUUGGGCUGGGAAGUGCAUUCUCAGCUUCCCUUUCCCUUCCCAUUCUUCAGUCUCCCUGGGCCUUGGAGUCCCACCAGGCACAUGCCAUGUAUAGACAGCUUCCCAGUCAGCCGGGGCUCAUCUAGUCCUUGAAUUCGGCACUCACCUUUCCUGCCUUGCCCUGCUGUUUCUGGCUCCUCUGCUGCUUGCCUUGGAAGCCUCAGGCUAGCAAACUCAGGGCUUUCCCACUCCUUUCUCACCAAGCUUCCCAGUUUAGACUGAUGAAGCCCAGGUCCCUGCCUUCCCAUCUGCCCAAACCUUUCACACACCAACCUUGAGCUAGUGAGACUGUCCCCCUGAGGUGGUGCAGCAAGUGGAGCUGUCCCAGGCAGGAGUCUGCAGCUCUUGCCUGGGGCUCCACCAAGUGUAGUCCACUGCACCCCCACCCCUUGCCUAGCAUCUGCAAGGCCUGGGGUUCAAUGGAUCCCCAGCACAACCAAAAAAAAGAAAAGAAUUUUUUUUUCAAUUUUAUGCUUUUUAAAUUUUCAAUUUUUUGUAGUUCACCCCCCCGCCCCCCGCAUUCCUUUACACUGCCACAGCCAGCACCUCCAUGGCACUGUCCCUCUUUGUCUGUGGCUAAGGCCUUCUGGAGUCCAUAGGCUGUGCCUAAAGGUACAAAGCUCCUGGGAGUAGGUUUGGUGCUGGGUGCCACCACUACUGGCAUUUCUGCCCCCCCAGACCAGGCUUAGCAUCUCACCUCAUGGCAGAGACCAGGAUCAGAAAAGGCAAGGAAAAGCUUCUAGAAGACAAGAAGCUGGAGCUUUAUGGGCUUGUAACAGCCUGCCUGACUGCAGAGACCCUGCUUCUUGCCAGGUAUGGGCAUGUCAAAAUGACCCAUGUGACAAAGAAACAGCUCAAGGAAGUUGACUAUCCCAGCCAGUCAGUGGCAGAACUGAACUUUAACCCAAGUCUUCAGGGACCAAAUCCAGCCCUCUUUCCUAAUAGGGCGAGCAGGACUCAAUUGUGCAUGCUCACGACUGACUUCCAGCAAAACUGGGCAUACCUGUGGACUGACCAUGUUUAGUUGACUCUAAAUGGAAAUCUGGAUUGAGCUCUGAGUGACUAGUUUCUGGAGAACCCACAGUGGCUCCCUCAAGAGGCCCUUGCUGAAGGGCACAGCUUUCAACUGUACUGCAACUACUUCCUCUUUCCUGGGCUCAGUUACAAGGAAAGCUUGCUAUCAGACUUUGCUGAAGAAACAAAUUGAUUGCUCUAGUCUGAGAUUUGGCAAGGCAGGAAUUAUGCUGAGUCAAUGUGACUAAACAUCUGAACUUCCUCAGUCACCUCUGGGUAGGCACCGACUGCUCCAGCAAACAAGUAGAAAUCUAAUCAUAAAGCCAUUAGGGGUUUCUUUCUUUACUGUCACACACUGCGUGGACUUACCAUUUCUAUGUUAAGCAACAGAAAUAAACAAAAAACCAAAACUGCUUUCCCAGAGUAUUGAAAACUAUGGCCAAGUAGCUUAGGAGAGAGGGGCUGGGACCUGAGUGAGUGUCCCUCAGAGACACACAUAAUGCUGGAGCCAGAAUUCACCCUGACCUGCUGUUUUUAGAAAAUCCACAGAUACUCGACAUGUCAUGCUUAAGAAAAUCAACCCAUGUUCACUUAAAAAAUGUUCUGGCUUGCUGACUCCCAGAUCCCAGAUCAAAGCAAGGGCAUGAAUUCUACAAAAACAGCCUUCUAGGCACACCUCCCAGGGAGGAACCCUUUGACUUACAGAAGAGGGUGUGUGAGCACUCGUGGGUUGUCCAGACGUGAAAAUCCCAGCCCUGCUGCAAUUCCUAUUACUGAACUGAAAUGGCUGGAUGCAUGCAAGAAGGCACAAUGCUCAAAAAAUUCCUGAGACACGAAUCCAAAAGCCAGAGGAGCAAGCACGCAAGGUACUCAGAAGAGCUACCCGGCUGUGUAGGGAUGAGGAGGCCUGAAGGGAGACUGGAACCCUCCCCAUGCGAACAAAAGUGGAAUGACAAGAAGUCAGACCAACAAGUAAUGUAGCAACAUGAGCCCUGUUCCACUGACCUCCUGACUCUCGGUGCAGUCAGCUUUGCCAGCGACGUGCUGUCCUGGUUGAGGUCUAUCUGUAAGGUACAAUCAGCUUCCUGAGAACAAAUUCAGGGAUGAUGAUCCAGUUCAAACUGAACGUCCAGCAGGGUUCAAGGGAGACACGGCCCAAUGUACUCUAUUCUCUAGAGCUGACCUAACUUUCAAGACUAUGAAGGCACCCAGUCAAGUGGGUCCCUCCAUCCUGGUCUCCUCCCCAAAGCCAGUUUUCCUUCCCAGUCAUUUCACUACAAUUAGCACACAAACAGGCUGUGGCCCCAUGUCCCCUUCCAGAAGGUUAACCCUUUUCUUCUCCCGUUUUAGUAAGUAUCUCUGAAAGAAUUGCCUGUUCUCCCUUGGAACUUGCAGCUGGAGUUUUUCUCCCAACAAUACUCUGCUCACAGGUGACCUUGCUCUGGCAGAGGCACUUAUUGUCCUCCCCUCACCCCCAGGACUGGGAAACAAAUCCAGGGGCACUUUACCACUGAGCUACACCCACAGCUUUUUUGUUUGUUUGUUUUAUUUUGAAAUAGGAUCUUACCAAGUUGCUGAAGCUGGCCUUAAACUCACAGUGCUCCCUGGCAGAGGCACUCCUGAGGCUCCAUUCUAGACCCUUCUCUAAGUUUGGAAUGAGACCUCAGACCUGGGUGGGCCAGUUGCCUUCUCCUCCUCAGGACCUCUGCUGCCUUCAGGGAUUACACUGGACUGACCUCACCUGGAAGAUCAUGAAACAGGCCGUCCCAGGCCCUACCAAGACCACCUCAAUCGGAAUCUGCAUUUUGGAAUGGUGAUCCCAGGUGAUUCUGGUGCUUACUAAAGUUCCAGAGGUGCUACUCCAAAUCCUUGAAAACUGAGUUUCAGUAUCAGAAAACCCAUUUUCCCUCAGACAUAAGUUGCAUCCUCUAAUAGCAGUUUUAUCACUAAUAAAGGUGAUAUUUUGGUCUCCAAUUGGCCUUAUCUCACUUGGUUCUGAAACUGGGAAAUAGUGAUAUGAUUGGCUCCCCCAAACUUCCUCCACCUUCCUGUUGCUGAAACCUAUGGUUCGCUGCUUCAGUUUAUCGGCUGCACUGGACACAGUGAUGGCAUCCUGCAUCUUCCAACACUUAGUGGCCACCUGUGGGAGACCAACCUUGCACUUGACUGAGUCACAUUCCCCAGCUGGGUGCUGAGGCGCUCAGUCAUAGAAAUGUGGCAGAGCUUUCCCCACCCUUCUUGGGUUCGAGGGUCGGUGUCUUGUGCAUGGGUGUGUCUUGCUACAGCCCCAUGAGUGGAGCUACGCUCACCUGUUCCUUUGUAAUAUAAUCCCUUGCCCUGUUUAGGAUAGAAUCUUCCAUGGAAGUGCCUUGUGUGUGUCCCCUUCUCUUACUGUGUCCUUGGGUGUGGCCUACCCAGGUGUCAGUCAACCUGCUGACAGUGGACAUCAUGAAGAUAGACUCAGCCCCCUGAAACCUGCCCCCUUGCCUCAUUUGAACAGCUUCUCCACAAUAAAAGGGGUCAGCGUGUGCUCUCGUUCUCUCUUCCUAUGGACCUUUAAGGUCAGAGGAGCUGUCACAGCAAAAAAGGUAUUUGUGUCUCUUGUGUGGUUAUUUUGCACAGCCCAAUUAGCCCAGUUCAACUGGAGUGACCCCUGAACCUUUUAGUCGCGAGAACAGAAACCCGGCAGCUACCUGUCACUCUUUAUGGCCACGCCUCUUCCUCUUUGCUGGACCAGUCUUCUCUCCCUGACUUCUACAUGCUGGAGUGCUCUGGACUCUCCCCAUGUUUCCAGCCUCUACCUUCCUUCGUCAAAGACCCUCUUUGAAUACAACCAGUUUACCCAACUGUCCUGCAGAGUACACAUUCAGGUGGAAGUGCUGGCAUCUCAAAACAAACACGACCAACCCGACAGCUGUUCUUCUACCAUUUUCUUCAUCUUGGGAAAUUGCAAUGCUGUUCUUUUUGCCCAGGCACGCAUCUUGUGAACUACUUUCCUCCUUUCUUUCU
rnacentral:lncRNA from 1 species